rnacentral:rRNA from 1 species
UACGGAGGGUGCGAGCGUUGUCCGGAAUCAUUGGGCGUAAAGGGCGCGUAGGUGGCCCGGUCAGUCUUUGGUGAAAGCGCGGGGCUCAACCCUGCGUCGGCCAGGGAUACUGCCGCGGCUCGAGCACUGUAGAGGCAGGCGGAAUUCCGGGUGUAGCGGUGGAAUGCGUAGAGAUCCGGAAGAACACCGGUGGCGAAGGCGGUCUGCUGGGCAGUAGCUGGCACUGAGGCGCGACAGCGUGGGGAGCAAACAGG